GACGAACGCUGGCGGCGUGCCUAAUACAUGCAAGUAGAACGCUGAAGGAGGAGCUUGCUUCUCUGGAUGAGUUGCGAACGGGUGAGUAACGCGUAGGUAACCUGCCUGGUAGCGGGGGAUAACUAUUGGAAACGAUAGCUAAUACCGCAUAACAGUAGAUAUCGCAUGAUAUCUACUUGAAAGGUGCAAUUGCAUCACUACCAGAUGGACCUGCGUUGCAUUAGCUAGUUGGUGAGGUAACGGCUCACUAAGGCGACGAUACAUAGCCGACCUGAGAGGGGGGGCGGCCAGACUGGGACGGUGACACGGCCCAGAGGCAUACGGAAGGCAGCAGUAGGGAAUCGUCGGCAAGGAGCGGAAGUCUGACCGAGCAACGCCGCAUGAGUAAGGAAGGUUGUCGGAUCGUAAAGCUCUGUUGUAAGAGAAGAACGAGUGUGAGAGUGGGAAGUUCACACUGUGACGGUAUCUUAUCAGAAAGCGACGGCUAACUACGUG
rnacentral:rRNA from 1 species